rnacentral:rRNA from 1 species
GCAAGUCGAGCGGUAACAUUUCUAGCUUGCUAGAAGAUGACGAGGGCGGACGGGUGAGUAAUGCUUGGGAAUAUGCCUUAUGGUGGGGGACAACAGUUGGAAACGACUGCUAAUACCGCAUAAUAGCUACGGCUCAAAGGGGGCUUCGGCUCCCGCCUUUAGAGGAGCCCAAGUGGGAUUAGGUAGUUGGUGAGGUAAAGGCUCACCAAGCCGACGAUCCCUAGCUGGUCUGAGAGGAUGAUC